UACGAGAGGCCCAAACGUUAUUCGGAAUUACUGGGCUUAAAGAGUUCGUAGGCGGCAUGAAAAGCAGGGUGUGAAAGCCCUCGGCUCAACCGAGGAAUUGCGCUCUGAACUGUCGUGCUUGAGGAACCUAGAGGUGAGCAGAACAGAUGGUGGAGCGGUGAAAUGCGUUGAUAUCAUCUGGAAUACCGGAGGCGAAGGCGGCUCACUGGGGGUUUUCUGACGCUGAGGAACGAAAGCCAGGGUAGCGAACGGG
rnacentral:rRNA from 1 species